rnacentral:misc_RNA from 1 species
UUUCCGUAGGUGAACCUGCGGAAGGAUCAUUAAAGAGUAAGGGUGCUCAGCGCCCGACCUCCAACCCUCUGUUGUUAAAACUACCUUGUUGCUUUGGCGGGACCGCUUUGGUCCGUCCGAGCCGCCGGGGCCGUCAAAAGCCCAGGCGAGUUCCCGCCAGAGUUAAACCAAACUCUUGUUAAUAAAACCGGUCGUCUGAGUUAAAUUUUUGAAUAAAUCAAAACUUUCAACAACGGAUCUCUUGGUUCUC